rnacentral:rRNA from 1 species
AGAGUUUGAUCCUGGCUCAGGACGAACGCUGGCGGCGUGCCUAAAACAUGCAAGUCGAACGGGGAACCUUCGGGUUCUCAGUGGCGAACGGCGGAGUAAUACGUGAGCAAGCUGCCCUGAAGACUGGGAUAUACGGUCGAAAGACCGGGCAAUACCAGAUGUGGCUUCUCUCUCGCAUGGGAGAGAAACUAAACGGUUUUUCGCUUCAGGAGGCGCUCACGGCCUAUCAGGUAGUUGGUGGGGUAAUGGCCUACCAAGCCGACGACGGGUAGCGGGUCUGAGAGGAUGGUCCGCUCGAGAGGGACUGAGACACGGCCCUCACACCUACGGGUGGCAGCAGUUGGGAAUCUUGCACAAUGGGGGAAACCCUGAUGCAGCGACGCCGCGUGGAGGACGAAGGAUCUAGGUCUGUAAACUCCUUUUCUCAGGAAAGACUUAGGACGGUACCUGAGGAAUAAGCACCGGCUAACUACGUGCCAGCAGCCGCGGUAAGACGUAGGGUGCAAGCGUUGUCCGGAUUUACUGGGCGUAAAGGGCGCGUAGGCGGCUUGUUAAGUGUAGAGUGAAAGCUCCGGGCUCAACUCGGAAAUUGCUCUGCAUACUGGCUAGCUAGAGUGUCGCAGAGGUUUGUGGAAUUCCUGGUGUACCGGUGAAAUGGGUUGAUAUCAGGAGGAACACCCAUGGCGAAGGCAGCAAACUGGGCGACAACUGACGCUGAGGCGCGAAAGCGUGGGUAGCAAACAGGAUUAGAUACCCUGGUAGUCCACGCCCUAAACGAUGGAUACUAGGCGUGAGAGGUAUCGACCCCUCUCGUGCCGCAGCCAACGCAUUAAGUAUCCCGCCUGGGGACUACGGCCGCAAGGUUGAAACUCAAAUGAAUUGACGGGGACCCGCACAAGCGGUGGAGCAUGUGGAUUAAUUCGAUACUAACCGAAGAACCUUACCCAGGUUUGACAUCGAGGGAAAGCCUUAGAAAUAGGGCCCUCUCCCACAAGGAGACCCAAAGACAGAUGUUGCAUGGCUGUCGUCAGCUCGUGCCGUGAGGUGUACGGUUAAGUCCGCCAACGAGCGCAACCCUCGUCCUGUGUUACCAUCAGGUAAAGCUGGGCACUCGCAGGAGACCGCCGGUGUAAGCCGGAGGAAGGUGGGGAUGACGUCAAGUCAGCAUGGCUCUUACGCCUGGGGCUUCACACAUGCUACAAUGGGCGCAACAAAGGGCAGCAAAGCCGUGAGGUGGAGCCAAUCCCAAAAAUACGCCCCCAGUUCAGAUUGCAGUCUGCAACUCGACCGCAUGAAGGUGGAAUCGCUAGUAAACGCAGGUCAGCUAUACUGCGUUGAAUACGUUCCCGGGUCUUGUACACACCGCCCGUCAAGUCACCUGAAUUGUCUUCACCCGAAGUCCGUGGCCUAACCCGCAAGGGAAGGAGCGGCCGAAGGUGAGGGGAGUAAGGGGGACUAAGUCGUAACAAGGUAACC